UAUAUAUAAAGAAUUAAUAAACCUGCUUACAUAAAUUAUAUUUUAACAGCUGGGAUAAGUCUUACGUUGGAAGUGAGGUUAUAUUUUCCCUUGGAAGAGCCAUCCUUGUGACUUGACAUUCUAUGGCCAAAAUUAUCCCAAAAGGAUGAUGUGAGGUGCAUGUGCUUUGAGCUGCCAAGAUCUUGUUUUGAUUUGGACAAAUUCCCAUGGCUGCUCAUUAAGCUAUUUUUGGAACAGUUAUUUGGGCAUGACUAUAGAAGUACAGUAGACUUUCAAGCUUUGUCAUAGAGAGCCGUUGUCACUGCUGUGGCACAUGGUGAGUUAUUUAUUCUGUUGAAUGCCACCACAAAACCUGGUUAUACAUAUUUCAGCUAAACUGUUUUAAAAGCCAUGAUUUCAACUCUACUUCUUUUUUUAAGUCAUAGAGAAUUUUUGAACACUCCAUUUGGUAUUCACACAGUAACUUUGUUACAACAAAAGACUGCAGAAGGGAUCCUCCUCAGUGAGUUUUGGGGUAUGUCUACACUGCAAUAGAAACCCGCAGCACCAAGUCUCAGAGGCCAGGACAGCUGACUUGGUCUUGGGCUGUGGGUCUAAAAAUUGCAGUAUUAACUUUUGGGCUGGAGCUGAAGCCCAGGCAAUAAGACCUCCCCCUUACAGUGUACAGAGGUGGGUUCCAGCCCAAGCCCAAACAUUAACACUGCAGUUUUGUAGUCCCACAACUUGAGCCCCACAAGCCCAAGCCAGCUGACCAGGCCAGCUGCAGUCAUGCUGUGGGUCUCUUAUGGCAAUGUAGACACCCUUCAUGGAUUGUGUGUCUUCUUUUAUAAAAAAAAAAAAAAAAAAAAGCUUACCAGAAAGAAAUUCAUGCAAGUGGGGGGAGAGAAUGACUUCUGAGUAUGGAUAUUAUUCCUCAGCCUUCACACAAUUUAUCUUCUGUAUUUUUAGAACUCUUUGAUCAUGAUUUUCAGAGCACUUAAUAAUCUUUGUAUAUAGAAAUAAUUUCACUAGGGUGAUCAGAUUUCCCGAUUUUACAGGGAUAGUCCCAAUUUUUGGGUCUUUCUUAUAUAGGCUUCUAUUACCCCUCACCCCCGUCCUAAUUUUUCACAUUUGCUGUCUGGUCACCCUAAAUUUCACUCACUGAAGUGCAUCUACUUCUGAGGUGGAACAUAAUAGCUAUUUAUCAGUGCACAGCAAUACUGUUAGGAUAGAGAGUGAAACUGCAGGGAGGAUGCAGAUGUGCAGAAUAUAUUUACUUAUCUUUGAAUUUGCCCAGCCCAUGGGGGCUAACACCCCAUCUUCUUUGCAAUGUCUCACGGGAUGGUUAGUAACCAAAAAUGGUUUUAACUUUUGUUUAAUAACUCAUCUGAUAAAAUGGCAGUGUCAGCAACAUAGUAACUCUGAAGAACAAUGUUUUGUUAUUGACUUAGAGGGAAGAAUGUGAAAUCAUAAAUACAUCUUCUUGUAGCAUUUAUGCUUUUUCCUGGGACUUUCCCCAUGACUUGCUGACUUGACCUCUUGUGAAAUCUGUGAUCACAGCACAAUGUACUGUGUUUACAGGUCAUUACUGUAGUGUAGGUUUGUUUCUUAAAUCCCUUGUUUCACCUUUUCUCUCCAUGUCCCACCCGCCACACCUCUUUUUGGCACAGUGUCACUUGUAAUGUCAAGCAAACAAAGAAAUGCCAGUGUGCUAUCAUUUCUGCAGACUUGUACUUACUUUGUUUGUUCUAUAUUCUGCAUUCACAUCAAGGCAAUGACAAAAUACCACAUUGUUUCAGUAGAACUGGAUUAAUAUUGGUGGUUCUUAUGGAUCAUUUCCUCAGAAAGGAAGUUUGUGGGACCCUAUCCACAUCUUCCAGGGGAAGGGUGAUGAUGAAUCGGGGACCUUGCAUCUUGUUGGUUGGGGGCAGUGAGGGAACACAGGAGUGUAGGUAGAAAAGAAGACUUGAAAGGUCCUUUCCCCUGCAGGAUUCCAUCCAACAAUACUGAGGGACAAAGAAGCCGGGAGGUGAUUGCUCAUGUUGUCUUCCCUCUGUUUCCCUGGAGUUGGCAGUAGCUUCUGUCUAGUCGAUGAACCCUGUCUCUGAGAAACAGUGAAGUGUCAGAGCUUUUAAUGUUUGUGCCAUACUGCGUACAUUUUCUGGUCAGCCAUGAACCCUCCACUUUCUCAGCUAAUGUGCUUCCAGCACUUAACAGCUUUCAUACUGACUUUGUAGCAAUUAUACAGGUGCUCAGUCAAAUCAGAAAAAACUGUCACAACUCCUGAAUAAAAAUCUCUUACACCCUCCAAAUCAGCUCUCAUACAUUGUAUGGGGUGCACACCAGAUUUAAGGCCCAGAUCAUUUCCGCCUAGUGAAUCACCACAUCCUCAAACAUGAUGCCAAUGCAGGCCAUCUCUCUCCACCCACAUUGGCCUGUAGCCAGCAAUCCCCAUGUCAUGGCGUACUGCUUGCUGUCUGCAAACUUCUGCAACCUUGUGUUCCAGGAAUCGCCCAGAAUCCACCUGUUGGCAACCCUUACAGCAUGCAGAUUUCUUUGCCCUCUGCAGCCAGGGUACCUAUGCUGUCAGUUCCAAAUCUUUGCACUGUAAGUCUUUGGACACACCACAUUAAUUUGCCCCAAGAGCACAAAGUAACCGCUCCCCCGGUAAUCUUUCCAGACUACACAUCUGUGCAAGAGUAGAAGUGAACAUGUUCCUAAAUACCCUUCGCAGUUUGGGUCCCCCAACUACCUUUCGUAAAACUUUGAGGCACUCAAGCCAUUUUUUCCCACAUCACAUGAAUCGUUUGAUCUCUAGUUUUAUGCAAAAGAACAAAACAAAAAACUCCUAGAAACUUUUUUUGAAAAAAAAAAUGGCUUUUUCUUUUCUUCAGGGCUUAUAUGACGAUAAAGCUUAGCUCCAAUGACCGCCCCCACUUGGGUCACUAGCCCUACCCUGCACCUCCUGAGGCAAACCAACUCCCCUGAGGCACACCAAA